rnacentral:tRNA from 1 species
GCAUUCGUGGUGUAAUGGUCAGCACACUGAGCCGGUAUUUCAGAGGUCCGCGGUUCGAUUCCCGGCGAAGGCG